rnacentral:rRNA from 1 species
GAUGAACGCUGGCGGCGUGCUUAACACAUGCAAGUCGAACGAAGCACUUUAUUUGAUUUCCUUCGGGACUGAUUAUUUUGUGACUGAGUGGCGGACGGGUGAGUAACGCGUGGGUAACCUGCCUUGUACAGGGGGAUAACAGUUGGAAACGGCUGCUAAUACCGCAUAAGCGCACGGCAUCGCAUGAUGCAGUGUGAAAAACUCCGGUGGUAUAAGAUGGACCCGCGUUGGAUUAGCUAGUUGGUGAGGUAACGGCCCACCAAGGCGACGAUCCAUAGCCGACCUGAGAGGGUGACCGGCCACAUUGGGACUGAGACACGGCCCAAACUCCUACGGGAGGCAGCAGUGGGGAAUAUUGCACAAUGGGCGAAAGCCUGAUGCAGCGACGCCGCGUGAGCGAAGAAGUAUUUCUGUAUGUAAAGCUCUAUCAGCAGGGAAGAUAAUGACGGUACCUGACUAAGAAGCACCGGCUAAAUACGUG